rnacentral:lncRNA from 1 species
UAUGCUUCUCCUCGCUCGUCCGGGUCCAGCUUAGUCUCGCCGACCCCAUCGCCUGCUCGUCCCCGUCAAACUGUGCAUAUCUGUAUACUUUCAGCUUGUAUACUUUGACAUGUGCAUACUUUAUUCUUAAUUGUGCAGAAACUUCUUUUGUGAUGCAACUAAUGGGGAAAUACAAAAAAACACAUAAUGCCGAUUGCUUUGAGCCUUUGAGUUAGAAGGUAUACCCAUCUCUGAUAGGCUUCCAUGUAUGUGCCCCUUCCAUACCAGACGUUAGUUCUAAUUCUAUGUCCUUAGCUGCAUCCAUUUGUUCACUUGUUUCAUUGAAGGUUAAUUCCUGGAAGCAACAUUACAAAGAAUAAUGGGUAUGCAUGAUAUAAUAUACUUACAAUUAGACCUAUUUGGGACAUAGUUGGAAAAGAAAAGAUGCCUCUGUCACUUCGAAGUCUUCGGAAUCACUAGAAUGCGUGCUCUGCUUUUUCUCCACUUCUUUGUCGGCUGUUCCAUUUGAUUCUCUCAGCGUGUCCCCUAGAGUGUCUGCCCCUUCGGUGCCAAAUGUCUGUGCUAAUUCCUCAUCCAGAGCUGACUGCAUUUGUUCAAGGUUAAUUCCUGAGAGCAAGAUUACAAAGAAAAAUCAGUAUGCAGGGUUUAAUAUAAUUAUAAUUAGAACUAUUUGGGACAUAUAGUUGGAAAAGAAAAUAUGCCUCUGUCACCUCGGAAUCUGUGGACCGCGUGCUCUUCUUUUUCUCCACUUCAUCUUUGUCGGCUAUUCCAUUUAAUUCUGCAAGCUUGUCCCCUACAGUUUCUGCCCCUUCGGUGUCGGAUGUUUGUGCUAAUUCAUUGUCUUGAGCUGGCUGCAUUUCUUCACUUGUUUCCUUGACGGUUAAUCCCUGAGAGCAACAUUACAAGGAAUAAUCCAUAUGUAGUAUUAUAAUAUAAUGAGAAUUAGAACUAUUUGGGAUAGUUGAAAUAGAAGCAUGCCUUUGCCACUUCGCAAUCUGUGGCUGGUGUGCUCUUCUUUUUCUCUACUUCAUCGCCGUCGUCUAUUCCAUUUGAUUCUUCCUCGCUGCGUACCUGAAACACACAUAAUAUAAUAUUACCUGGUACUUAUUGAUUCUUCAUUGCUUAGUAACUAAAACACACGAUAAUAUAAUAUUCUCCAAUACUUAUAAAAGAGCAAAUAUUAUGAAGACGAAUAAAGAAUCGUAGGUAUGAUAUUAUUAUACUACAGAUUACAUAUUGUUUUGUCCCUCCUGCAUAAGAAUAAUAAUAAUGGCAUGUGAAAUUAAAAACCGCCUUUGUCAGCUUGGGGUUUGUAUGCUUGUGUUAGGGUAUCAACUCAUCAAUCUGCAUAUUUUCUGUAUCUUCCAUGAUGCCUUGUUCUUCUAUUGCCUUUGUUGACUUGGUGUUCAUAUCCUCAUCUUUGGUUAUCAUGCAUUCAAUCUGCAUAUUUUGUGUAUGCUCGUCCUUCGCUCCUUUGUUGAUGUUUUCCUAAAAAUCAAAGCAUAUAUUAUUAUCACGCGGUACACAUUCAGCCCUUAUGUUUUGUUAGCUUGAAAAUCGAUCUUAUAUGUUGGGACGUAGGGAGUACAUCACAACUGUAUGCACAUAUUUGCUUAUGUUUACUUAACAUAGUGGUAUCAGGACAUCCUUUCCAACUAAAUUUCACUAUCUAUUUCUUUUUUUAAUUGUUCAGUCAACUUUUCGAGACUAACUUGCGUGACUAUUCUCUCUAGUAAUCAGGUGGAAAGGACGGCAGCAAUAUGCUUAUUUUGCUCGCGGGCUUGUCAUUGUCGCUUUAAUAUUCCCUCUCUAUUUUGUGCAUACCGCUCCCUUUCCAUCCAAUUCUUAAUCUCAUCAUGGCCUGAGUAGAUGAAGCAUAGAUCAUUAUAUAGCAAUAUAACUGGGCCAUGUAGGAUGAAGUUCAUGUUCAUUACCUUGUGAUACAGCCAGCUGUGUUUGUGCCCCACUGCUCUCGGCAGAGGCAAUUUUCUUCUGUUUAUAGGCCUCACGUCGUCUCUUAUUAAUCUCAUCCUUGUUUUGUGCAUACCGCUCUCUAUCCCCAUGCCUUUUUACUUCUUUAGGGUCUGCAAUCAAUGGCACAAUUCAGCAGUUGAGCUACAAAAACUGAAAUUGAGUGCUUGUGUAAUGCUCAUCACCCAAGGACUGGGUGUUGCUUAUAUCCUGGAACGGGUGCGCGUCCCAUUGGGAUUGGUCGGGACCAUACGAAGUCCUUCAACCCUGUGAAUGUCAAGAAUGUAUCACACAAUUGUAACGGAAGGAAUAGUAUUAGCACAACGCAGACAGAGUACAGUUUUAUGUUCAACUUCAUCCCACUGUUUACCAUCAAAGCUUUCUUAAUUAUGGUGCCUCUGCAACCAAUUGAAUUCAUUUUGCACUAUUCAUGUAGGUAUAUCUCAGGGUGACUUUAUUUGUGUUCAUAUAAAUUGGAACUGAGCAUUGAACGAUCCAUAUGCAGCUUCAUGAGGCAUUUAGGUGAAGUCAGUACAAUGCUCAUUUGCCAAGGACUCAUGGAACGACGUCAGGUUUAGGUGAGGUACGCACAUCAGGAAUCAUGUUAGCAUGUGGUCAUGCCAUAAGUCACCAGUUCCUACAUUUUCCUUCUAUAAUUGCUCUUGUUUUUCAUAAAUUCAAUCAAAGCAAUUGAUGGAUCACAUGAACAGGUUGACAAAUGAGCAUGCAUCUGCGGAGCAGAGGGGUCUUCUAGCCUAACAAAGUCUUGGUGGCAGCGGCGUGUAAAAGACUUACGGACUUCAGAUCAGAGAAGACCAUGCACCUGUGCCGGCGAAGAGCUCGUCAUCGCCGCCAUGGCAGGGCGCCUGGGCGGCUGCACCCGUGUUGGGGAAUAGCUCGCCGUCGUCGGGUGACUCGGCGAGCUCGUCGUCGCGGCCGUCGUCGGGUGCCUCGGCGGCUGCGCAGGGCAGCGAUGGCGCACGUAAGCUGGACGCCUGGAUUGAUUCCGUGGAUAUACUCCCGCUGAGUUAGCACAUUUGUUUCCGUAUAUGACUCUCCGUGUAAAUUGGACGUGGGAUGUAUCCUUUCUGCGGGCGUGGGAUGUUUCCUGGUGUGGGCGUUGCCAGAGUUUUCGUCCGCCCUGGAAAUCUGCUAAACGCACUUCAGUUGUGGGUUGGUGUAAUCGUGAUGGCUAGAUCUAAUUAAGCGAUUUGAUCGUGAGGCUCCAAUUGAUCGGGAAUGUUAUGUGUAGAUUAGGCUGGGUGUGUUUAGCGUUGAAUAUGUUCUCUUGUUUAAUAGUAGUAGAGAUGAUCCACCUUUCCGCUGUUCCUAUGCAAUGCUCGGCAUCAAUGAUAAAUGACACAAGUUUUAUGUUGGUUUGGCUCAAUCUAUGUAAGAUUCCUUGUCGAUUGAUCACAGCUAAGUUUUCACCCUGGAAUGGCUACAAAAAUUACG